AGAAGUUUGAAAUCAAUGGAGAGGAGAGUGGCUAUGGAGAAAUAUGCUGAGGAAAACAUGAAGAAAGAAAACAUGACGGCCUUAGUGAAAGAAAUGAUAUUGGCUAUUUCACAGAAGAGGAGGGAAGAAUUCAAGAAGUUUUUCGGGAUUUAGAGUUGGCUAAAAUUUAAGAUGGAUUUUUUGAGAUGUGACAAUUAUAGACUGGUAGAAUUUAUCUGCUGUGAAAUUGACCAGGAUGUAUUUGACUGCCUUGAUCAACUGUCCAUAUAAUCAUUAUGUUCUGGAGGGUCCAAACUCAAACCUAACAUUCUUGAGGUACUACAAGCCUUAGGAGAGAAGCCAUUUGCC